rnacentral:rRNA from 1 species
UAAGGAAUAUUGGUCAAUGGAGGGAACUCUGAACCAGCCAUGCCGCGUGUACGAAGAAGGCCCUUCGGGUUGUAAAGUACUUUUAGAUGGGAAGAAUGGUCCUCAUUGAUGAGGGAAGAGACGGUACCAUCAGAAUAAGCACCGGCUAACUCCGUGCCAGCAGCCGCGGUAAUACGGAGGGUGCAAGCGUUAUCCGGAAUCACUGGGUUUAAAGGGUACGUAGGCGGCGCAAUAAGUCAGAUGUCAAAGACUGGGGCUAAACCCCGGUACGCAUUUGAAACUGUUGUGCUUGAAUCUGAUCGAGGUGCAUGGAAUGCUUCAUGUAGCGGUGAAAUGCAUAGAUAUGAAGUAGAACACCAAAUGCGAAGGCAGUGCACUAGGUUAGCAUUGACGCUGAGGUACGAAAGCGUGGGUAGCGAACAGGAUUAGAUACCCCCGUAGUCC